CGCAGGGUGGAGCAGUUGGCAGCUCGUUGGGCUCAUAACCCAAAGGCCGUAGGUUCAAGUCCUACCCCUGCUA
rnacentral:tRNA from 2 species